GAUGAACGCUCGCUACAGGCUUAACACAUGCAAGUCGCGGGGCAGCAUGGGGGUUGCUUGCAAUCCCUGAUGGCGACCGGCGCACGGGUGAGUAACGCGUAUCCAACCUGCCCUUCACCACGGGAUAACCCGGCGAAAGUCGGACUAAUACCGUAUGUUGUCCAUUGACGGCCUCCGAUUUGGACGAAAGGCUUAGCGGUGAGGGAUGGGGAUGCGUCCGAUUAGCUUGACGGCGGGGUAACGGCCCACCGUGGCUACGAUCGGUAGGGGUUCUGAGAGGAAGGUCCCCCACACUGGAACUGAGACACGGUCCAGACUCCUACGGGAGGCAGCAGUGAGGAAUAUUGGUCAAUGGGCGUAAGCCUGAACCAGCCAAGUAGCGUGCAGGAUGACGGCCCUAUGGGUGGUAAACUGCUUUUAUGCGGGGAUAAAGGGACCCACGUGUGGGUUUUUGCAGGUACCGCAUGAAUAAGGACCGGCUAAUUCCGUG
rnacentral:rRNA from 1 species